rnacentral:rRNA from 1 species
UACGUAGGGUCCAAGCGUUAAUCGGAAUUACUGGGCGUAAAGCGUGCGCAGGCGGCUUUGCAAGUCAGACGUGAAAUCCCCGGGCUUAACCUGGGAAUGGCGUUUGAAACUACGGAGCUGGAGUGUGGCAGAGGGAGGGUAGAAUUCCACGUGUAGCGGUGAAAAUGCGUAGAUAUGUGGAGGAAUACCGAUGGCGAAGGCAGCCUCCUGGGCCAACACUGACGCUCAUGCACGAAAGCGUGGGGAGCAAACAGG